rnacentral:piRNA from 1 species
UGUUAUAACUCCAAUGCCCAGUAAGCAUA